CAGUCGCCACGGGAAUACGGAGGGUGCAAGCGUUAAUCGGAAUUACUGGGCGUAAAGCGCACGCAGGCGGUUUGUUAAGUCAGAUGUGAAAUCCCCGAGCUUAACUUGGGAACUGCAUUUGAAACUGGCAAGCUAGAGUCUUGUAGAGGGGGGUAGAAUUCCAGGUGUAGCGGUGAAAUGCGUAGAGAUCUGGAGGAAUACCGGUGGCGAAGGCGGCCCCCUGGACAAAGGCUGACGCUCAGGUGCGAAAGCGUGGGGAGCAAACAGGAUUAGAUACCCCUGUAGUCCCUGUCUCUUAUAC
rnacentral:rRNA from 1 species